rnacentral:rRNA from 1 species
UACGUAGGGUGCAAGCGUUGUCCGGAAUUAUUGGGCGUAAAGAGCUCGUAGGCGGUUUGUCGCGUCUGCUGUGAAAACUCGGGGCUUAACCCCGGGCCUGCAGUGGGUACGGGCAGACUAGAGUGCGGUAGGGGAGACUGGAAUUCCUGGUGUAGCGGUGAAAUGCGUAGAUAUCGGAAGGAACACCAGUGGCGAAAGCGGCUUCCUGGUCCGACACCGACGUUCAGGCACGAAAGCGUGGGGAGCAAACAGG